rnacentral:rRNA from 1 species
UGCCAGCCGCCGCGGUAAUACGAAAGGGGCUAGCGUUGUUCGGAAUUACUGGGCGUAAAGCGCGCGUAGGCGGCAUACCAAGUUGGGGGUGAAAUCCCGGGGCUCAACCCCGGAACUGCCUCCAAAACUGGUAAGCUAGAGGAUGUGAGAGGAUAGUGGAAUUCCGAGUGUAGAGGUGAAAUUCGUAGAUAUUCGGAAGAACACCAGUGGCGAAGGCGACUGUCUGGCACAUUUCUGACGCUGAGGUGCGAAAGCGUGGGGAGCAAACAGGAUUAGAUA